GGAGUCGUUCUCCCUCUGUUUUAUAUGUGGACAUUUGGGACCACAGUUAGAAUUUGGUUGACCACUUGAUAUGUGAGAGCCUGAGGAGUUGUUCGCCCUCUGUCCAUGUUCGAGGACUUGCUCUCUGUCUGCCUCUACUCUCUGCCUUCACUGUACCAAAGUUUUUCUGUUGAGUCUCCUCUAGUCUGGUUGACCACUUGACAUGUGAGAGCCUGAGGAGUUGUUUUCCAGACAAAGGUAGAGCUGGCAGGGGCGUCACCCUGGGCCUGCCCUUUUGGGCUGGGCUUCAGCUGCAGAUCUAAAGGCUGCUUCCAGGGGCAUGGGGCCCUCAGCCUUUGUUUUUCUUUGCUUCUGCACCUUACAACAUACAUCACACCUUAUUUUCACACAUCCAAACACUGUUAACACCACUGACGCGUAACAUAUUUUACACAUCCCACUACGUAGUUAGAGCUAUCUUGAUUUGGAGUUAAAUAAAUUUACUUUUGGCUUGA